AACGAACGCUGGCGGCAUGCCUAACACAUGCAAGUCGAACGAGACCUUCGGGUCUAGUGGCGCACGGGUGCGUAACGCGUGGGAACCUGCCCUUAGGUUCGGAAUAACUCCCCGAAAGGGGUGCUAAUACCGGAUAAUUUCUUCGGACCAAAGAUUUAUCGCCUUUGGAUGGGCCCGCGUUGGAUUAGCUAGUUGGUAGGGUAAAAGCCUACCAAGGCGACGAUCCAUAGCUGGUCUGAGAGGAUGAUCAGCCACACUGGGACUGAGACACGGCCCAGACUCCUACGGGAGGCAGCAGUGGGGAAUAUUGGACAAUGGGCGAGAGCCUGAUCCAGCAAUGCCGCGUGAGUGAUGAAGGCCUUAGGGUUGUAAAGCUCUUUUACCCGGGAUGAUAAUGACAGUACCGGGAGAAUAAGCACCGGCUAACUCCGUG
rnacentral:rRNA from 1 species